GCCUGGGUGGCUCAGUGGGUUAAGCAUCCGACUUCAGCUCGGGUCGUGGGUUCAAGCCCCACGUUGGGCU
rnacentral:tRNA from 1 species